rnacentral:rRNA from 1 species
GAUCAUGGCUCAGGAUGAACGCUAGCGGGAGGCCUAACACAUGCAAGCCGAGCGGUAGAGUAUCUUCGGAUACUUGAGAGCGGCGCACGGGUGCGGAACACGUGUGCAACCUGCCUUUAUCUGGGGGAUAGCCUUUCGAAAGGAGGAUUAAUACCCCAUAAUAUAUUGAGUGGCAUCACUUAAUAUUGAAAACUCCGGUGGAUAGAGAUGGGCACGCGCAAGAUUAGAUAGUUGG